UACGUAGGGUGCGAGCGUUUGAAUCGGAAUUACUGGGCGUAAAGCGCACGUUAGGUGGUUUUAUAAGUCGGAUGUGAAAGCCCCGGGCUUAACCGUGGGAAUUGCAUCUGAUACUGUCUGACUAGAGUAUGCUAGAGGGAAGUGGAAUUCCAGGUGAUAGCGGUGAAGUGCGUAGAUAUCUGGAGGAACACCAAUGGCGAAGGCGAAGCUUCCUGGGGCAAUAGUGACACU
rnacentral:rRNA from 1 species